AAACCCCCCAUAUGCUCUUCUUCUCUAGGUACAAGAUGAAGAAAAUACCCUUUGUAGAUAGCUAGGUCUCCCUUUUUCCUUUAUCAAAGUACCCUAAUGGGAAUUCAACUAGUUGUCACGGACUUUAGUUGGAGACUAAUGAAUUGCCGGUUUUAUGAUCGUCAUGCACUAGUAUGAGUUAAAGCUGCCAGCGUGAUCUAAACGUUUCUUCUUUUUUGAGGAACGAUAAGAUCACGUGGUUGCUUCAUCUGAUGCUGGGGCAUGAAAAACCCUAUUUUCUAAUUCAAUCAUUUAGGGUUUUCUAUUUUUUGAAAGAAUGGUAUGUAGUUUCCUUAUUGUAUUUUUUAUAUGUUGGGUUCACCUGAAUUUUGAAUGCUUUUUGACAGUUAUAGAACGUUUAUGUAUUCGUACACCGGUUUAUGGUUUUGUUCCUUUUGGUGUAAUUGUUUGAUUUAAUGGAUUCUUAGUAUUUUUUGACAGAAAUUUCGUGGAUCCCUAGACGUGCUUUAGGAGGUCUAGUUUUGGAGCCCUUCAAGGUUUUCUAAAUGUAGAAGCUGGAACGGACAACUGAUCUUUACAUGUAAUGUGUGUGUGUGUGUGUGUGUGUGGUAUAUACACAUCUCAAUUUUUGUCUUCAGUAUUAGGCAAGAUUCCACACACCUUUGGCAGUCCCGGUUGUCCAUUAAUGCAUGUGAAAUGUUCUGUGAGUCUUCCUUGGUCACCCUCAUUCAGAUGGAAAUGAGAAAAGUGAUAAGCUUGUUACAAUUCCAUUGGUCCCCAGAAGUGACAUCCAGCAAGAUAUGUUUUAGGAAUUAAUUUCCUUGUACUGAUGAAGUGUACCAGAAGCUUACAGAUGAUGAGGGUGGGUUGGCUGGUUUAAAUUUGGUUUUUGUCCAACAUUCAAUGAAAUCGUGCCACUGACAGUCUGUCAAACUGUGCAAAAAUCUCCAGCAUGAUUGAUGUUUUAGCCCUCCACCAGUGUCAGCUACUAUUUUAUAGCAUAUAUUAAGCAACAAAGACAACAAACAACAAAAAUAUGUGAACCCUUUUUGGUCAUUCCAUUCGGUUUAUUA